GCUCACCAGGUAAGCUUUGAACUGAAGGCGGCAAACCCAAACUCCCUACCAAGCCCAGCCCUCUUCUUCUUCUGCUUCUUCUUCGAUCUCUCUCUCUCUCUCUCUCUCUCCCCUCUUCGUUAGUGUCUGCAAGCGCUCUCUCCCUCUCUCUCUCUACACAAGCAUGGUCGGACCCUCCUUUGACACCUGCAACCUCGCCCCUAAGCCUCCCCGCUCCUCCUCCACCUCCGCCUCCGCCAUCAAGUUCCUCUGCAGCUACGGCGGUAAGAUCCUCCCCCGUUACCCUGACGGCAAGCUCCGUUACCACGGCGGCGAGACCCGUGUCCUCGCUGUCAACCGCUCCAUCUCUUUUGCUGAAUUAAUGGUGAAGAUGGGGGAAUUGUGUGGCACGACCAUGUCUCUUCGGUGCCAGUUACCGACUGAAGAUCUAGAUGCUUUGGUGUCAAUCACCUCCGAUGAGGAUUUGGCCAAUCUCAUCGAGGAGUACGAUCGUGCAGCUUCUCCUCUUUCGUGUUUAAAGAUCAGGGCAUUCCUUUCGCCCCCCAAAUCUGCCAAAAAAAUCUCUCCUCCAUCUUCACUCGCAUCCUCAUCGAAUUCAAGGUCGCCUUCACCUUCUUAUAGAACCACCGUUGGAUUUACCCCGAGGUUCUCGAAGCCCAUGAUGCCCAAGCCUGUAGGUUUUCCUGUUUGCAUGGAAAAGUCUGCUGGGAAGAUUCCUCAGCAUCAUGGUUAUGGAAGCCCUGGCCAUGUCUACCUCGUGCACAACGGAAAUCACUGGCAAUAGCCAAUCUCAGCGUACUAAUUGAAAUCCAGCUAUUGCUUAAAGGAGAAUAUACUAAAACUAGCCUCCAAAACAACAUAUAUCAGUAAAGAAGGGAAGGAGGUGAAGAAAGUGUAUAUGAUGUAAUGGGAGGACUGUAAACAGAUUUCUAUCUGUGCCCAUCAAUGAAUUUCGUUCCGAUUUCAUUUUGGUUGGAUCAAGAAUUUUAUGCUUCGAAGUCAUGACUAGAAGAUGAAGAAUGAAGUCUUAUGUAUUUGAGCUUGAAUGUCAAGAUUCCAUUAAUUGCUGCUGGGAACUGGAGACCGGCGGUUCCAUGUAGGACCAAUAAAUAUAAGGUCGAAGACAAUAGCAGAUUAUUGGUAAAAACAACUAGAGACCAUCCAAAAUUUAAUGUGUCCGUCGCAGCUGGAACAUACUGUGUGAAUGGAGAAGACUAGAAAGCUUAUCUUUUAGCUAAGCCAGGGAGGAACAGACAUCUCACCAGAGAUAGACGCCGUAGUUACUGUGUCUGAUUUUACAGCAAGUUGGUAUCACGAGUCAGAUCACAUUGAUUUCACAUCGUGAAAUAUGAAUGCUUUCGUGUAAACAAUAUCCGAUAUGACCGUGGGUGUGGGGUAAGAGUUGGAUUAGGCAAGAAACUUUCUGGAACGAGACCCUGUUCUGGAAAGAGACAGGGUAGGUCCUUGAGUCGAUAGCCAUAUCCGAUUGGGAUUCCAGAGGAAGACUCUCCAUUCGUGUAUCAUUCCAAAGAAGAAGAAUCUCUUACUGUACCAGCUGUGGAAAGGUGUCGGGAUUACGACUCCUAUCAAGAAGACAGGCAUCAUGAAAGAGAUUCGAGGGUUGUAACGUGCGCAUAAAGAUAAAGCAGGUCAAGGGGCUUGAAGAAAAAGUGAAAGAGAAAGGCAGCAUCUUCAACAGAAGAGUGGAGAAGACUGGAGCCCAUGAGAGCUCCAUGGCUUAUCCGCUUUGAUGGGCUGAAAACUGCUGGGAACAGUGACCUCCCAUUCGUGGGCACUGCUGAAUGCCCAAGAUGAUGAGACAUGUCUGAGCAGUGCCCGCAGUAUGGGGCCCUGAAGAGGAAAUCGGAAGCUGAUGUCUACUUUCAAUGUAAUUCUUACCUAGACCACGUCCAAAAACAAAAACAAAAAAGCAAUCAAUUACUGAUAUUCACAACAAUGAAACACCUAUUACUCUUUUUACGUAGUCUAAGGUUCGAAAAAACCUCCCUGUAACCUCCCUUGCUAUGUGUUUGUACUUCAGGAGAUAUUUCUUUCGCUUUGAACUUGGAAUUUGGACUCGUUGAGAUUUGACUUUGUAUGACAACUUCGUUUGGUUCUCUG